GAUCACCUUUAGCUUUACUGAAAGCUAAGAUCUUACUGAUGCAGUACACCAUCAGUCAUGACAUCCACCAAAAUAUAUGUCUAAUAAAUCUUUUAUUCAUACAUCGAAUGUACUGUAUUGUAAAGGAAUAAUGCACAAAAAAUUUUAAAUUAAUAUUUUCUCUAGUUACAACAACUCUGUGCUGAUCCCAAUGCAUUUCAGAUAUUGCAAAAUUGUAUUAAACUCUUUACUGUUGUUAAAGGUUCACACAUAAAAUAUAUUGGCACAUAGCCUGGCCAUUGACUUCCUGUAAAAUUCCUCUCAAUUAAAAUCCCACUUCACGGACAGUCUGGGUUUUCUCCCAUUUACUUGGAUUCCUCCGGUAGAAUUUCAACCGGGCCAAUCAGAAGGAGACGUUGUGAACUUCGAUUUUCUGGACUGCUUUAGAAUUGCAGUCAGCCUGCGGUUUUCCAAAUACUGAAUUAACAUUAACAGUGGAGUUGUUCAGCUCGGCGCUUCUCUUUGCGCAGUGGAGGGUGGUUGUUUACAGCGCAGGCGAGUCACGGUACACUUCCUGGCGUCGAACUGGUGCAUUGCACACGUCACAGCCGAAUGUUCUCAAUAAAAUGUAAAAUGUCAGAGUCCAGCCCUACAGGAGGCAAUCAUUUCUCAAUAGCCACCUUCUGUACGAAGCAAAGCGGAGUACGGGGGGAUGGUUUUUGUUAGGCUACUCUGCACCUAGAGAAGGACAAAAAGUAUAUAAUCCCCACGCCCAUUAAGAAACAGUAGUCAAACAAUUACACACACUCUGUUUGUGCAAGUGUGCAGGAUAAAUAAUAUGAGCCACUCCUUGCUCGUUUUAAUCCCCCUCCUAAUCGCCACUUAUGAUGUAAGAGUAAAUGUUUGACAGUGUGGCAAAUACAUUUUGCACUUGAACAACAGACUUAAAAAGUCACCACGUCCCUCCUUCUCGCAACAGUCCAUGUGCAAUUUGGAGGUCAGUGCAGGAAGAAGCCAUAUUGCACAUGGCGUGUGGCUGGUCAUUAUGAGAAAAUAUUUGAAUAGCCCAUAUUUUUGUUGGAGGCAGUCGUGGUAUACGUUCGCCACUUUGGUUGUGUGGAGGUUUGAGGCGAAUUUGCGACAACGGUCAAAAUGCUAAAGUAUUUCUCGUUUUAACCAUCCAACUGAAACAGCAUUUUCAUAAACACAUUGAAGGUUUGGAGGGCUAACUCAUGUUAGCAGCAAUUUUAUUUUUUCAAUCGUUCCUAAUUUAGGGGAAAAACAAUCCAAUUCAUUUCAGUUGCACGGUCAAAGAAAAGCGUCAGUUUGAAGAGCGUUUAUCGUGUCAGGUGAAGGAACUGGUACGGGCAAAUGACUGAGCGUAGAUAAAGUUGUGAUCACUUGUUCGUGUGAAAAUAAACACAGUAGGUUAGUAUAUCAGAACUGAGCUGGAUUUAAAUGUAAUGCUAUACAGAGGACCUUGUGGAAACAUGACGGGUUACUUCCUGGUAGGCCGAAAUGAUGAGCACCAGCCUUCUCUUGACAAACCUCUGAGAAACAGGAAGGAGGCGACAACAUAUCGCUCUAAACCACUUCUCAACAUAAACAGAGUGUGAAAAAGUUGUAGGAUGUCAGAAACCCUUUCAGUAAAGUCUUAGUCAAAGAAGCCUGCGUCUGUUUUCAGUCAAAAAGCACCAGAGAACAACUUACAUAAUGUAUUUGCCUAGAUCAUCUGGGAAGUUUACAUAGUCUGAUGUUUGCAUAGCAGUGUGCAUGUCUAUUAGGCUGUUUGGUUAUUUAAAGAGACACAGAACUUUUCUUUGGGUUUUUACAAGCCAGGGCUGAGAUGCAGGCACACAGCUGCACAUCCUAUUGUGAGUCCAAGUUUAACUCUUAAGUUGGUUUUGCAGGACUGACAGACUUGGCUUCAUUUCUCUCUAUAGGCUGCUGUUGCGGUGGCAUAAUUCCUCAUGAUCUGACUUAUCUUCCCACACAGGGAAAAACAAGAAGAUAGGGUAAAAUAAGGAAAAACUGUCCGUCACAGCUGGACUACCUGCUGUGCGACUCAGGAAAGAUGACAGCGCAGGCCUUUCCUUCCCAGGAGCUGAAGAGAAGGAGACGGGAGGAGAAAACAAUGAAGACAAAGUGCUCUGUGGUCUGGGACUUCCUCAGACUGUAUUUAAACCAACUACUGCUGCAAAACUCUACUGGCGUCCGAAAAUAGAUAAAACGUCCACCAUCCUGGAACCGUACUGGGAGAAACAGAAUAGAAGAACCAACCUAUAAAAGAAAGAGAAAAAUUGAAGCAGCUAAAAAAAAAAAAAAAAA